GGUGUCAGUUCUAAAAGGUCUUGUAGGUCUUCAUAGAACUGUUCAACUUCAGCUUCUUCAGCAUUACUAGUUGGGGCAUAGGCUUAGAUCACCAUGAUAUUGAAUGGUUUGCCUUGGAAAUGAACAGAGAUCAUUCUGUCAUUUCUGAGAUUGCAUCCAAUCUCUAAAUUAUAUAUGACAUACUUUCUUUAGUCAUAUAUAAUUUUAGCGUUUUUGUACCCUCUUGGCCUCAAGGCCUUUCCCAACUUUAAUGAAUCUGAACCAUUUGGUAAUUGCUAAUAUUUACUGGAUGCUAUCCCAAGCACUUCAUGCAUCUUACCAUUUAAAUUUUGCAGGAACUCUUUGUGAUACUAUUAUUACUUACAUUUUUGAGAUGGAGCAAUUGAGACCAUGUCAGUGAACAAUUUGCUGAAGUGGAGGAGUGAGGUUUCAACCCUAACAAUUGACCUGGAAGAAACCUCCAUCCUCAAAGACUUGGAAAAGGCUGUCCUGGAGCCUGCGUGGAGGUUACAAAAACCAUCCCUCUGGUGGUGGCCUGAGCAGAUGACUUCAACCCCAAUGUUGCCCUGAACGUUGCAUUCAAGAUUUGAGAAGAUUAGGACUGCUAAGGUAUGGACUUGUGACUUCUAUCUUUUUUGAAGGCAAAUACAUUUAAAGAUAGUUAAUCAUUUUCACAGCCUUCUCUCCUCCUCAUCUGCUCUUUUCUUUUUCUCUUGCCUUUCUCCCUCCCUCCUUUUAAGCAAUGAUCUAGUCUUUUGUUACCAGCUUGUGGGAUGUGGUGGGAUGGAUAAAAUUAUAAUGGAAGAAAUGGAAGGCUACCCUGUCUCAAUAACAGAGGUGAUCAGAGGGGAGGCAGUCUAAGCAUGAAGAGAAAUUCGUGCAGACAUCUUUGAUAGAAAAAAGAAAUUGAGAUUGUUCCUUAUGUGAUAAGAGACAUGUAAAGAAGUGGUACAUGUGAUAAACUGUGUAUUUCCAUAUUCUAUGUCCACAGAAGACUUUUGGCAAACUGUUGUAUUAUAUCUUAAGAUUUGAGGAUAAUUGUGUUUAUAUAUCUUAGAUGCAUACCUAGGCUAGUGUUAGAAUCUUCUGAGUUGAGUCAGGUGAUCCCAUCUUCUUUUCUAGUUACAAUGAUAAUCAUUCUUUGUGUGUUUGUGUAUGGUAUAUAUGUACAUACACAUACUUACAU
rnacentral:lncRNA from 1 species